UACGGAGGGGGCUAGCGUUGUUCGGAAUUACUGGGCGUAAAGCGCACGUAGGCGGCUUUGUAAGUUAGAGGUGAAAGCCCGGAGCUCAACUCCGGAACUGCCUUUAAGACUGCAUCGCUUGAAUCCAGGAGAGGUGAGUGGAACUCCGAGUGUAGAGGUGAAAUUCGUAGAUAUUAGGAAGAACACCGGUGGCGAAGGCGGCCCACUGGCUCGACACUGACGCGUGAGGUGCG
rnacentral:rRNA from 1 species